UUAACUCCAAUUUGUAUGGAGUUGGAACGUUUACCUAGGCGUGCCGCUAGGGGCGCUGUUCUAACUGCAUACAAAUGUCAGUUA
rfam:Bombyx mori DNA, contig: Bm_scaf65_contig29887, strain: p50T/Dazao, build 2, whole genome shotgun sequence.